CAUAAACAUUUACUAAGUCAGCAACAAGAAACUGUCAAUCACAGAGUUAUUAUCAGUGCAUGGAACCAAAGUAAUGUGAUUAUUACAUAAAUAAAAUUAGCCUCCAAUGUAGAUUUUGAAUUAUAUUUCAACAACUAUUUUUUUUUUAAACAACAAUGAAUCUGAAACAAUUUGCCUAAUUAACACUUAAGCAAAUUCAUUUCAGAUCACUUUUUACAGGGAUUACAAAAAAAAAUACUACUAUUGUUUACCACAAUACUUCUUUUAAUUCUUAUAAAUCCUCCAUCAAAUAGUUUGCAUAAAACACCUGUCAAUGGUCAGAACCAGUUAAUUUAGAAUUUUACUACACCUAAUUUCAAUCAAAUUUAGGGAAUUACACAAGUAAUAGUGCAUAAUAUAUAUUAUGCAAAAAUUUGAUUCAUACAUUCCUUCAAUAAUCUUUUAAAAAACCAACUUUACUCUAAAAUGUAUUUAUAACAUGGUAAGACGUUAAUGAACUAGAGGUUCUAUAUAGAGCCUGUGUUGCUCAUCUGCAUCUAUAUGCAUCUUUAACAAUGGCCACUCUUUAAAAUUGAGGACAAGAGUAUAAUUCAGGACUGAAAUCUCCUUCUGGCCAUGAAUGAGGUCAAGUUUGGCUAACUUUAUACUGCCGGGCUUGACCUUUGUGUCACCAUCAAGAUUUAUACCAGGCACCUUUAAAACUUUGUUAGAAUGUUUCCCCCAACUGUAAUUAGACUAAUAAGAGGCUUUGAUUGCUUGACAGACUUGUUAUAUUUUUUUAUCCAAUGUCACAUUGGCAGAUUUCUUCUUAGUUACCUCAAUUACUUUUGAUGGGGCUUUAGGUCAGUCUCUGUUUCAAAGCUAAUCCAGCCAAAACAACAAGCAGGCUAGCUUUUUUUUAUUAUAAUCUCCUUCCAAAGUACAAGGUAAAUUAUACAUUGAAAUGAAUAAACUUGCUAAACAUUGAAAAGCAAGUUGAGAUGAUGACCACCAAAUUUUAAGUGGACAUUGCAUAUUUUAAAGUUUUUUAAUAUCAUUAGGUGACUUAUCAUUUAAAGGAUUUUUCAGACUUCCAUUCAAUGGUUGUAAAAUUAAAGAACCUUAGUGAGCGCACUCACAUACCCCAUGUCCCCACAUUGUCAUUGGAGAAAUAAAAUAAGUGUAAGAAAAAAAAAUUGAAUCAUAAUUUCCUGUCAAUAUGCACAUCUACAUAGUAUGUCCUUAUUAUCUACACAGUUUCAUGAAAUUCUGUUGUGUGGUUUGAGAGGGGUUGCGAUGACAAAAGGUUGCAGUAGUAUAUUGGGCAAAUAAGUUCAAAGGGGCGUAACUCCUGGAAAAAAAAUUGAAUCGUAAUUUCCUGUCGAUAUGCACAUCUACAUAGUAUGUCCUUAUUAUCUACACAGUUUCAUGAAAUUCUGUUGUAUGGUUUGAGAGUAGUUGCGAUGACAAAAGGUUGCAGUAGUAUAUUGGGCAAAUAAGUUCAAAGGGGCGCAACUCCUGGAAAAAAAAUUGAAUCGUAAUUUCCUGUCGAUAUGCACAUCUACAUAGUAUGUCCUUAUUAUCUGAAAAGGUUUCAUGAAAUUCUGUUGUGUGGUUUGAGAGGAGUUGCAAUGACAAACUGUUGCAGUAUUACAUUAAAGUAAAUAAGUUCAAAGGGGCGUAACUCCUAGAAAAAGAAUUGAAUCGUAAUUUCCUGUCGAUAUGCACAACUACAUAGUAUGUCCUUAUUAUCUAAAAAGGUUUCGUGAAAUUCUGUUGUGUGCUUUGAGAGGAGUUGCGAUGACAAGAAACAGGACUGACGGACGGACAGACGGACUGACGGGUCAAAAACAUUAUACCCUCCGCAACUCGUUGCGUGGGGUAUAAUUAAAGAUUUGAAGAAUCCUAUAACUAUAAACCAACUUUAUAAUUUCAAGGAUACUUUUUUUGUGGUUCUCCCUUUCCAUUGGACUCGUGUCAACAAAUUGCUGGCAAAAAAAAGAUGGUUUUGUCACCAUAUCCUAAACUUUUAGUCCCCUAAUGGCCCUCUACAAGCUUGUCAUA